rnacentral:lncRNA from 1 species
AAGCUCAGAACCAGCAAUAAUAAGGAGAUACUCAUGCCCCUUUGUCGGCUGCAAGCGGAACAAAGAGCACAAGAAGUUCCAACCCCUCAAGACAAUUCUGUGCGUGAAGAACCAUUACAAGAGAAGCCACUGUGACAAAAGCUAUACCUGCAGUCGAUGCAAAACCAAGAAAUUUUCGGUUAUUGCAGACCUGAAAACACAUGAGAAGCACUGUGGCAGGGACAAGUGGAUUUGUUCGUGCGGGACAACAUUUUCAAGAAAGGAUAAGUUGUUUGGGCAUGUUGCUCUCUUCCAAGGUCAUACCCCCGCCAUUCCCAUGGAUGAUGCCAAAGUUUCAGG